CAUCUGCGCCACCUUAAUUCCCGCAAACUCCGUGAUCACAUAUUUUUCCGUGUCGUGCUGGAUGAGAACCUGCGUUCAGGUUCGAGCCGAGCGAAGCGAGACGACAACGCACAGCGUUGCCCGCAGGGCGAGGCCCAAGGCCGAGUCAAUCCUGCACGACCCACCA
rnacentral:sRNA from 1 species